ensembl:lincRNA
UCCGGUACUGGUUUGGUUUUGUUUGUGGUCUUUGGUGAAGAUUGUGCAAUUCUGUGCGUGUGCUUGUGCACGUGUAUGCGUGCGUGUGCAUGUGCGUGUGUGCGUGCACGUGUAUGGUUGUGUGCGUGUGCACGCGUGCGCGCGCUUGCACUGAAGCGGUAGGGAGGAGGGGGGAAGUUCUGAGACGCAAAAGCUUCACAUACUCCCUUGCUGUUGACUUGGGUGCUUCUGAAAGAGAAUGUACAUCAUAAACUCCCCUGAAAAACACAGCACGGCGAAAGCAUCCUGUGCGUCUCCGGGCCUGGGACCCGCGGGCCUUUCCGGGCCAGGACGAGGCCGGGCGUCGAGGGCCGCUCGCUCACCUGUGCGCGCGGGAGGAGGCGAGCGCGCAGUCAUCACUUCUGUCACUGUGUCCGUUGAGACUACAAAGGUAACCAGAAGGAGGUCUUAUCCGUUCUGUUAGCUUCAGUUGGGAGCAGCAGGUAGAAGCCGCGCUUUGGUUUUACUUUUUCACCACGGGAAGCUAUAAAUAGCGGGGCGCGUGUGGCUUUCUGGCUGAGUUACCUACACUCGCCGGCACCUCAAGAUCCAGGCGCUGCGACUCCCACAUGAGCAUCGCAGGCCGCCGCCCCCGCGGACAUUUUCCACAACAUGCGUGUGACACGGACAGGUGCUGCUCCCCGUGAGGUGUGUGUUGUUUUUGUUUCAACUUUUGAGGUGGAGAUGCGCGCCGCCCACACUGCCAGCUCUGGACGCAAGGCCUCCCGAAUGCCUUGAAGAGAUGCAGAGCAAUGUGGUAGAUUUGUCUAAAAUUGUAAGAUAUCGUCAAAAUAAUGCAUCCGUCUCAACUGUGCAGAAAUUCUGAAGGCUGCUUCACGAGGAGGGACUCCAAGUUUUCAAGAAAAAAAGGAUUUUCUUAUGAAGAUGGAAAUGAUAGAAGAAAGUGGACAAAUCAAACAGAAUUCUUUUAACAGAACCCAGGCAGAGGUGCUGCCGACGCGGACGGCCUGUCAGGGGCUGCCCUGUGGAACCAUCCAGAAGGUGGGAGUCAGAAAGCUGGGAUGUGAGCCUGGCUUCUCCGUUCUCCAGCUUGCUAGGCUCUCAGCCUCCAUUUUUAUAUCUGCAAGAUGGGAAAGUAAUGAAAUUUACUUUACACAACAUCUGGCCCAUCAUAAGUGUUAGGUAAAUGUUACUGUUUCCUUCUAAAAACUCUUUAAAAGUGGACCAAAGGACACCUCUUUCAGAACUGCACGCCGUAGAGCUGAGCCCUAGAGUGCUAGGCAAUAACGGAAGCAGCAACGGGCAGAGUUGCCAAGCACAGUUCAACACCAGGUGGCUAUUCAGAGCUCAUACAUCAGCAAGCCCAUGAGGUCAUGCGUAACAAACAGUCUCUGCGCUCUUUGGUUAUAACCACAAACCAAAGGAAAGCCCGCACAUAGGCGCAGGGUGAAAAACAGCUGGGAACUACACAAGACUCUUCAUUCUCACCUGCACAAAAGACUCACACCCAGUGUACCAUCUUCAACCACGAGCAAGAUUCUCAGCAGACACCCUUGUGUAGACCAUAACAAAUUUUAAUCUAGUCAACUGUUUUGAAUGACAUUUUUACUUUAAAAAUAAAGAUCCUAAAAAAAAAAAAUGCAGAUCCUACUUUAACUUAGAGUGCACAUUAAUUGGGUAUGGGAAUUAACGCCCAGUAAAUACUAAGUUAUUUAGAAGAGCUAUUGUUUACAAACUUCUACUUGCAUUUUUAAACAUAUUCAGCUUUCAUGAUAUGUAUCAAUUAAAUAAAUAGAAGUUGAUCAGUCAAUUAAAAUGGAAGUAUAAAAGCAUUUUGUGCUUCUGUUCGUACUUAUUAGGAAUGAGUUAAAUAGCCUUCCUAAAGCUAUAACCUAUGUUCCAGCUGUAUGAUUAACU